UACAGAGGUCUCAAGCGUUGUUCGGAUUCAUUGGGCGUAAAGGGUGCGUAGGCGGCGGGGCAAGUCUGAUGUGAAAUCCCGGGGCUCAACCCCGGAACUGCAUUGGAUACUGCUCUGCUUGAGCACUGGAGAGGAGACUGGAAUUUACGGUGUAGCAGUGAAAUGCGUAGAUAUCGAGAGGAACACCUGCGGCGAAGGCGGGUUGCUGGGCUGACACUGACGCUGAUGCGCGAAAGCUAGGGGAGCGAACGGG
rnacentral:rRNA from 1 species